GCCCGGUUAGCUCAAUCGGUAGAGCGUGAGACUCUUAAUCUCAAGGUUGCGGGUUCGACCCCGCAUCGGGCU